rnacentral:antisense_RNA from 1 species
CAAGGAUUAGGUAAGUUCUCCCCGCGGUAGACUUCAAAUACUCUUUGUCCUGCCCCUGCUUGGCGAAAUUUACCGAAAUUAUCUACCUAUCCCGCUGGAGUGGGAGCCGGGAGAGAGCUGGAACCGCGUCUCUGCUGCUCACCUUUGUGUCCUUAGCUCCUUCGCAUGGGGUCCGACCGCAACACGUGCGCUGGAUAAACGCUUGUUAACUAGGUAAAAGUCUCGCAGUGAAAAACCCGAGGACCCUUACUGCAAGUGUCCUUUGCUCCCAGCUACUGAUACUGGAUUCCACUCGUGAUUCUCCCUUUCUUAGCGCAUUCAUGAUAUAGACAUCAGUCUCUGAGCUGGAAGAGGACAAAGGCAGCGGUCCUGUGAAUUCUAUGCUCUAGCUUGGGUUAAGGGAUUUGGAAUUGCACUUGUUCCAGAGAGCUCCCUCUUUGCCCACUAGCAGGGCAUUAGCUGGUGCUGAAGACAGUGGCUGCUUGGCGAGCCUGGAUCUCCAAGUGACCCCCUCAGCAACUCCUGAUGAACAGGACUGAAGCCAAUAUUAAAGCAAGUCAACCAAAGGUUCUCUGGUGUAGACAAGACAGCAAAAGGACAGACUACCUUGUGGAACCUAGCAUUGUUCUCCUUCUGCAGCACUAAGUAACGUUUGUGCUCCGUAAGAUCUUUGCAAACCACACACAAGAAUUGCUGGUCAUCCUGUCAAUAGAUGCUGCUCACAGAACCAAAUUUACUGUGCUGGAUUGUCAUUCAUGGGCUUGAGAGUAGGAGACUGGAGACCAAGGUGGCUAGAAUCCAGUUGGGCCUGACGUCUCCC